GUAUUGCUGAGGAGUCUCAUAAUAGGACGAAACGGCCGUCCAGUGC
rfam:Schistosoma mattheei strain Denwood, Zambia genome assembly, scaffold: SMTD_contig0006933